CAAGGGAUAUGGGUCUAGUGCAGCUGAUCUCAUCGCAUCGAACAGUCCAUAGAGUGGUUGUAUUGGGAACACUAUGUGCCCUAGAACUUCGAGCGGAAGGCUCUAACAUUGGUUAUGCAUCGCUUUAUGCACGCUCUCUUCUUCAGAACCUCCGUGAAGAUGGUAUUUACAUGAGGCCUCUGGGCAAUGUUAUUUACCUCAUGUGUGGGCCUUGCACAUCCCCUCUCAUCUGCCGCCAACUACUGGAAAAACUUUACAGAAGACUUGAGGAGUUCGGCCAAGCCAAUGAGAACUUGAAAUCCUGUGAAUUUUAGUUGUUGCAGCAGCUUAUGAUCUUCGGUUCUCAAUUUUAAUAUAUUUUUAUAUUUAUUCAUCAGUUUGUAGUUCACCAAUAAAAGUAGUAUAUCUUUGUUGGCUGAGCUUGGUUUUUGAAUGUAAUCUAUUUAUUCUUCUCUAGCCUCAAAUAUAUUGAACUCAGACUUCCAUUAAGGGUUGGACAUUA